CGCGGCCUAUCAGCUUGUUGGUGGGGUAAUGGCCUACCAAGGCGUCGACGGGUAGCCGGCCUGAGAGGGUGAUCGGCCACAUUGGGACUGAGACACGGCCCAGACUCCUACGGGAGGCAGCAGUGGGGAAUAUUGCACAAUGGGCGAAAGCCUGAUGCAGCGACGCCGCGUGGGGGAUGAAGGCCUUCGGGUUGUAAACUCCUUUCGCCAGGGACGAAGCGUUAUAGUGACGGUACCUGGAGAAGAAGCACCGGCUAACUACGUGCCAGCAGCCGCGGUAAUACGUAGGGUGCGAGCGUUGUCCGGAAUUACUGGGCGUAAAGAGCUCGUAGGUGGUUUGUCACGUCGUCUGUGAAAUCCCGGGGCUUAACCUCGGGCGUGCAGGCGAUACGGGCAUAACUUGAGUACUGUAGGGGAGACUGGAAUUCCUGGUGUAGCGGUGAAAUGCGCAGAUAUCAGGAGGAACACCGGUGGCGAAGGCGGGUCUCUGGGCAGUAACUGACGCUGAGGAGCGAAAGCAUGGGUAGCGAACAGGAUUAGAUACCCUGGUAGUCCAUGCCGUAAACGGUGGGCGCUAGGUGUAGGGGUCUUCCACGACUUCUGUGCCGUAGCUAACGCAUUAAGCGCCCCGCCUGGGGAGUACGG
rnacentral:rRNA from 1 species